rnacentral:rRNA from 1 species
UUCUUCGGAAGAUUUCUCUUGUGACUUAGUGGCGGACGGGUGAGUAACGCGUGGGUAACCUGCCUCAUACAGGGGGACAACAGUUGGAAACGACUGCUAAUACCGCAUGACACAUUGGGGUCGCAUGGCCCUGAUGUCAAAGAUUUAUCGCUGAAAGAUGGCCUCGCGUCUGAUUAGCUAGUUGGUGAGGUAACGGCCCACCAAGGCGACGAUCAGUAGCCGGACUGAGAGGUUGAACGGCCACAUUGGGACUGAGAUACGGCCCAGACUCC